rnacentral:rRNA from 1 species
GUACACGCUGUGACUAGCAUAUCAAUAAGCGGAGGAAAAGAAACUAACAAGGAUUCCCCUAGUAACGGCGAGUGAAGCGGGAAGAGCUCAAAUUUGAAAUCUUAAAGAGUUUCCCUUUACGAAUUGUAGUUUAAAGAAGUGUUUUCUGUUGAGGUUUUGGUAAAAGUUCUUUGGAAUAGGACAUCAUAGAGGGUGAGAAUCCCGUAUUUGACCUUUACUUUCAACUUUGUGAUACACUUUCAAAGAGUCGGAUUGUUUGGGAAUGCAGUCCAAAAUGGGUGGUAAAUUUCAUCUAAAGCUAAAUAUUGGCGAGAGACCGAUAGCGAACAAGUACCGUGAGGGAAAGAUGAAAAGAACUUUGAAAAGAGAGUUAAACAGUACGUGAAAUUGUCAAAAGGGAAGCGUUUGACACCAGUGUUGUUUUUCUGAAAAUCAAUUAAAGAACUGUUUAUGCUAAGCUGUUUAGACUUUAUCAGCUAUCUGUUUAGUUUUGAGCUUUUCUUUAAUGCACUUUUCAGUUAACAAGUCAACAUCAAUUUCUUUUGCUGUAAAAAAGCUUGAGGAAGGUGGCUUGAGAUUCGUCUUAAGUGUUUAUAGCCUCUUGCCUAUGCAGUCGGAGAGAUUGAGGUCUGCAGCGUAGAUCCUUCGGGGCUAAAUGCAUUUGUGCUAAGUUAUAGCAUUUUAUAGACAACUUGUUGACUAUGAUUUGUCUUGUAGCUUACUCGCUUAUGUUAUUUUACCUACGCUUAGGAUGUUGAAGAUGUAGCACAUCA